CAAGGCUUUACGUCGCUGCUCCUUUCUGCUCUCUGUGUGUUUAACAGUGAGUCAGCUGAACAGACAUGGAACAGGACUCAGAGCCAUUGCCAGAAGGGGUAGAAGGUAUAAGCCACCACGGGGUUUGAUGCCUACUGCUCGAAAAUGUUAUUGCUUCUUAUUUCCAUUUAGGGAGGAAAAAUCUUCAUUGUUAUGGCUUUAGUCGCUGCUUGUGGGGCACACCUGAGGUGCACAGACCUGCUCCCCUCCUGGACAAUGGACAAGAUGUUUUUCCUCAAAGUCACAUGCCCAUCCUGGAGUGCAGCAGGACACUUGUGUUGCUUGGGCAGAGGUGGAGAAAGCCGCUCUUCUUCCACUUCCACCCCCUCCUUCUUUUCAUCUAACAGGAAUACCAUAAUCAGGGAAGUAUGCACAGGCUGUUUUGCAAGGGGUCAAAUCCAUUUGGAUGAAAUUCCAGGGCUUCAAGGUUAACAAUGGCAGGAAGAGAUGUUUUUAAGCUGGCCCACACAGUGCCUUGUUGACAUGUAUGGCCUGCUGCCUCAUGCUGCCCACCCUUGGAAAGCCCUGGCUGCUCCCGACACCAAGGAGAACUGAAAGCUCACUGCAACUGGAGCUAAAGGAAAGAACCCCUUCAUUAAUUAUUAAAUUAUUCUGUGACCAUACUUUUUGCCCAAA